rnacentral:rRNA from 1 species
GAUGAACGCUGGCGGCGUGCUUAACACAUGCAAGUCGAACGAUGAAGCCCAGCUUGCUGGGUGGAUUAGUGGCGAACGGGUGAGUAACACGUGGGUAACCUGCCCUUGACUCUGGGAUAAGCGCUGGAAACGGCGUCUAAUACCGGAUACGAGCUUCCACCGCAUGGUGAGUUGCUGGAAAGAAUUUCGGUCAAGGAUGGACUCGCGGCCUAUCAGGUAGUUGGUGAGGUAACGGCUCACCAAGCCGACGACGGGUAGCCGGCCUGAGAGGGUGACCGGCCACACUGGGACUGAGACACGGCCCAGACUCCUACGGGAGGCAGCAGUGGGGAAUAUUGCACAAUGGGCGCAAGCCUGAUGCAGCAACGCCGCGUGAGGGACGAAGGCCUUCGGGUCGUAAACCUCUUUUAGCAGGGAAGAAGCGAAAGUGACGGUACCUGCAGAAAAAGCACCGGCUAACUACGUG